GAUGAACGCUAGCGGCAGGCUUAACACAUGCAAGUCGAGGGGUAUAUAGGAGCUUGCUUUUAUAGAGACCGGCAAACGGGUGCGGAACACGUACGCAAUCUGCCCUUAUCUUGGGGAUAGCCCAUAGAAAUGUGGAUUAAUACCCAAUAGUAUAUUUGGAUGGCAUCAUUUAAAUAUUAAAGAACUUCGGAUAAGGAUGAGCGUGCGUAAGAUUAGCUAGAUGGUGAGGUAACGGCUCACCAUGGCAACGAUCUUUAGCCGAUGUGAGAGCAUGAUCAGCAACACGGGCACUGAGACACGGGCCCGACGCCUACGGGAGGCAGCAGUGAGGAAUAUUGGUCAAUGGACGGAAGUCUGAACCAGCCAUGCCGCGUGAAGGAUGAAGCCGUUCUGCGUUGUAAACUUCUUUUAUCAGGGAAGAAACCACAGAUUUCUAUUUGUGUUGACGGUACCUGAGGAAUAAGCACCGGCUAACUCCGUGCCAGAAGCCGCAGUAAAAC
rnacentral:rRNA from 1 species